GAUAACCUUGGUGGAGUACCAAAAACACCAUCCGUGUCGACUCCUCUUCUCUUUCUCUCCGCGUUUGCCUGCCUGACUCAGCUGUCACCUCCCCGUUGCCCUUCAACCCAUGAUCACGGCGGCUAUUUGCCUCCCCCAGUUAACUUUCACCGGUGAUGCUGCAGUUUCACGGUGGCGGGUUUGUGAAAGGCAGCAAUGAAUCGGUAGGGAACGACGCGUUUUGCAGGAUAAUCACGAAACAGUGAUGAUAUUAUUUUCGUGGUUGUUGGGUAUAGAUUGGCACCAGAGACCAGGAAUCGGAGGGCUUUUGAAGAUGGGUUCAAGGUUUUGAAUUGGUUAGCAAAACAGUCUAAUUUGGCUGCUUGUGGAAUAUUAGAUGCUCACAGCCACAUUUUCUAUAGCUUCGAUGCUUCCAUGGUCGAGCCUUGGUUGGCUGCUCAUGGAGAUCCUUCCAGGUUUCUUUUAGAUGAUUUAUUUACCCUAAAGCAAAAGCAGAGGAGGCAGGGGCGGAGGCAGAGGAGGGCAGAGAGAAUUGUUUGCUGAUAAAGAAUUAAACAUGGACGUGAACAGGAAGGUAAGUGAAGAAGAAAUAGAAGAGUAUUUGGUGAAGAAGGCGAUCAAAAAAGCAAAAAGUUGACGUCGAGAUCAUCAUCACCAUUCUCGUCCUUUUAUUCUAAUCAGUCCAAUCCCUUCGGUGAUUCCAAUCUCGAUGAGAAAUUUGUGUGGCGCAAAAAGAUUGAGCGUGAUAUUGCGCAAGGGCUGCUUUCUUUUCUCUUAAAACCGAAAGAAGGAGACAGAGAGAGAGAAUGGAAGAGAUUGGAAAGGUUAAGAAAAGAAGAGAGCAAACGGCACUUGAGAAACGACAGCACGAGGAAGAAAGGGAGUUGUUAGCUAGAAAACGUGCCCGUGCUGAGUUUCAGGACUGGCAGAAGAAAGAGGAUUGUGCUAUUCCACAAUUUGUUGCUAAUGAUGAUGAACGAAAAAAUCAGAUUCAAGAACCUGCGGAACCAGAACCGCCUACAUUAUUGGAGAAGUUCAAUCUGAAUAAAGCUACGGGAGCUAUGAAGGAAGGUGAUGGAGUAAUUGGCUCUGUCGCUGAAGUGAACCUGGAUUCACAGGUAGAAUGGUUGUGUGACAAGUACCAACCGAGAAAGCCUAAGUAUGUCAAUGCUUUUCACACUGGAUAUGAAUGGAACAAAUAUAACAGGACUCACUACGAUCAUGAAAAUCCACCUCCAAAGAUUGUGCGAGGAUACAAGUUCAAUAUCUUCUACCCAGACAUGAUAAACAGGACAGAGACUCCAACUUAUACAUGCGAGGAUGAUGGGAGCAAUGGCGAGACUUGCAUUAUAAGAUUUCAUGCAGGGUCACCUUAUGAGGACAUUGCAUUCCGAAUUGUGAAGAAAGAUUGGGAUGUGAGCCAUAAAAAAAGGAUUCAAGAGCACGUUUGAUGGGAUAAUUUUGCGGCUUCAUUUCAACUUCAGAUGUCACUCCUAUCGCAGAGCUGAUUCUAAAAAUGGAGGAAAGACAAUAAAACCCUAUGAUACCAAUCUCUUCUUGGUCAGAUGGCAGAAAAUUUACGAGUUCAAUCAAACCCAACAUCCAUCUUUAAGAAAGGAGAGGGGAGGAGAAAAAAAAAGCAAGAAGAAACAACCAAGAAGGUACACUUGAUCCCUUACUCGAUCUCUUUGCAUGUUCCUUCAAGAAUCACCAUGUUUGUGCCAACAAACAAGCAUGGCAACACAGCGCCUCAUGAUAUAAAACCUUGCCUUCUGUUCCUUGGCUAAGCUACUACAUUUAUGUGAAAUAGAAGAGUUUUUUUGAGAGAAACUCCUUGGAAGAGGGCACUUUGGAGAAGAGCUCUUGAGGGACGAGGUCCUCAAGAGAGGAGCCUUGGAUGAUGAACUCUUAGUCGAGAAACUUCUUGUGAAAGAAGAUGAACCUUCUUUCUUUGAUAACUUCCACUUCUCAUCCAUCUACGAACCUUAGAAGCUACAAGUGACUAGCUCGUAACAGCAAGUGAUAUGAUUCUUCUCUGUAUGUACUAUAUACGUGUGAGAGGGCGAAAGCGUUGGUGUGUGAGAGAGAGAGAGAGAGAUAAGAUCAAGGAUGGGACUCGCUCAGUGAGUGGGCUUUUUAUUAAAUAUUGUAAUGGCGAUUCGGGUUUCUAGAUGUGAACCAGUAUUUCAUUUGGUGCUGAAA